CCCGCUGAACUUAAGCAUAUCAAUCAGCGGAGGAAAAGAAACUAACAAGGAUUCCCUUAGUAACUGCGAGUGAAGAGGGAAAAGCUCAGAUUUAAAAUCUGGCAGUGUUUCACUGUCCGAGUUGUAACCUAGAGAAGUGUAACCUGCGCUGGACUGUGUAUAAGUCUCCUGGAAUGGAGCAUCACAGAGGGUGAGAAUCCCGUCUUUGACAUGGACCACCAAGUGCAUUGUGGUUGUGCUCUCAUCGAGUCGAGUUGUUUGGGAAUGCAGCUCUAAACGGGUGGUAAAUUCCAUCCAAAGCUAAAUAUUGGCGAGAGACCGAUAGUGAACAAGUACCGUGAGGGAAAGAUGAAAAGAACUUUGGAAAGAGAGUUAAACAGAAUGUGAAAUUGUUGAAAGGGAAACGUUUGAAGUCACUCGCGUUGGUUGGGGAUCAGCCUGACAUUGUUGGGUUUACUUCUUGGUCGACGGGCCAACAUCAGUUUUGACUGCCAGAAAAAGUCCAAAGGAAUGUGGCACCUUUGGGUGUGUCAUAUCCAUUGGUCGUAUAGUGGUGGUUGGAACUGAGGAAAGCAGCGUGCCGAAAGGCCGGCGUGUCGAUACACGUUCACGCUGAGGAUGUUGGCAUAAUGGCUUUAAGCUGACCCGUCGUGAAACACGUAAGGGCGAAAUUCUGUUUAAACCCUGCGAGGAGCAUAUGUUCCCC
rnacentral:rRNA from 1 species